AUUGAACGCUGGCGGCAGGCCUAACACAUGCAAGUCGAGCGAGCGGCGGACGGGUGCGUAAGGUUUGGGGACUGCCCGUUAGCGGGGGAUAACUACUGGAAACGGUAGCUAAUACCGCAUACUAUCGGAUAACGCAUACGGGAUUAGCUGGUCGGUGAGGUAAUGGCUCACCUAGGCGACGAUCCCUAGCUGGUCUGAGAGGAUGAUCAGCCACACUGGGACUGAGACACGGCCCAGACUCCUACGGAGGCAGCAGUGGGGAAUAUUGCACAAUGGGCGAAAGCCUGAUGCAGCCACGCCGCGUGUAUGAAGAAGGCUUUAGGGUUGUAAAGUACUGUCAGUCGGGAGGCGGUACCGAAAGAGGAAGCACCGGCUAACUACGUGCCAGCAGCCGCGGUAAUUC
rnacentral:rRNA from 1 species